rnacentral:rRNA from 1 species
UACGAAGGGGGCUAGCGUUGCUCGGGAUCACUGGGCGUAAAGCGCACGUAGGCGGAUUUGUAAGUCAGGGGUGAAAUCCUGGGGCUCAACCUCAGAACUGCCCUUGAUACUGGAGGCCUAGAGUCCGGGAGAGGUGAGUGGAAUUCCGCGUGUAGAGGUGAAAUUCGUAGAUAUUCGGAAGAACACCAGUGGCGAAGGCGGCUCACUGGCCCGGUACUGACGCUGAGGUGCGAAAGCGUGGGGAUCAAACAGG